GUGAAGACUUUGUACAAUAGCAGGUAUGCAAUGAUUGUAUACUUUUAUUGGUAAUUCUUCCAGGUGAUAGUGAAGAGGUCAGUCAGCAUUAUUGUUACAGUUGAUAUCCUAACAAUGGCUCUGACCUGUCUGAAUCAUUUGGUAAGUGCUAUUUGUUGGGGUAGUUUUCAGUGAUUCAGACAACUGAAUCAAGAAGACUUUUUAUGCAGGUUUUAAAGUUUUAAAGUAAGUGCUUACAAGUUGGGGCAACUUUCAGUGAAUUUGGACACCAUGAAUGUGGAGUGUGAAACUAUAAUCACAUUCAUUGUUGUUGAGAUUCUAACUUAAGUGUUUCUGUUUAUAAAUAUUUAUUAAAAUUCUUGCACAAGUAUUUAGUGAAACAUAUGCUGAAAUCUCUUAGGCAAUACCUUUGAAUACAUCAGUGAAAGCAUCAUUUGGCUGUGUACCUACUCUCAAUCGAGAGUGAUAACUGCCUGUCAAUGUGUGAAUCACCUGGUUCAUUCACAUGGAGUGAUCUGCCAUCAUCACUUCUAUUGUCACAUUGGAUUCUGUGGGUUGGACUGUGAAUCAUCUCAAGUUAUGAUCAGACUCUAAGCAUUCAAAGGAACAACACUUGACUCAGGCCCCUCAGAAUGAAAUAGUGGACAACAGGUAAAUUCUCAGUGGACAACUUCUAGGAUAGCAGGAAUGUAGUGAUUAUAUUUGUUGUGGUGAAUACGGCAGGACAAGAUGCAAAGAAGAAGACCACCCAUCUGUCUUAUUGUCACAGUUGUUAUUCUAUCAAUGGCUCUGACUUUCCUGAAUGGUAAGUGCUAUUUGUUGGGGUGGUUUGGGUGAUUGAAGCAACUAAAGAUACUUCUUUUUUUUUUCAUUUUAUUAUUGUUUAUUUAUUUAUUUAUUCAUUUAUUAUAAUUUUUUUUACAAUUUAUUAAACGUUAAACAGUUUGGACAACAUCCAAUACCUUCAAAAGAAAGCACUAUUAGAUUACUUCAAAUAGGAGCACUUGAUUUACAAUAUAUUCAUAAGUGCUUCUCGUUGAGGCAGUCUCAUCUGUGUAUUUGCCUUUACCAUCUUCUGUGACUGGUGCAAUGUGUCUCUGGAUGUUACCCCAAUUGUAUCACAUAUACUUCAGUUUUAAUGUCAUUUUCUGCAAGCUUUGGUACCUUUCAGUGACGGCAAUAAUAGGAAAUGUUGAAACCGUAAUAUUGUUUCACUUCAUAAAGAUUUAGUUAAACUGUUCCCAGUGUAUUUGGUGUAAUUUAUUCUGUCUACUGUUUUUUCUUAUAUUCACAUGAACUGUUUAACGAUCAUCAGCGCUUUUGUCCCUUUGGAUUUCGAUGUGGGUUGGAUGCGAACCAUGUAGACUCUACAUCAUCACAAUCAAAACACUUGGAAGAAUUGUGUUCAUCCCUCCAGGAAAUUGAUGCUUCCUAAAUUUGAAAAUGGCACUGAGGUAUGAUUCAUGCUGGAGGAGAAAAGUCAAGAGCCAGCAAAGUACUUGCAAAAGAUACAGAAGAAAGAAUCAAAGUGGAGGCCAGGUGACUAUUGCACCGAAGGAAUACCUUGUCUUCCUGAAUAUACUACAUUUACACCAGUUAUGAGUCAGUUCUGAGAUUUUGGCAGGUUUGCUUUGAUACAGCUAAAAUACUGUCUUCCUUGUCUAAAUGGCUGCAUUACAAGAAAGUGAUCAUUUUCUGAAACUGAAAGACACUUGGAGCUGAGUGAUAUUAAUGAUCGACUCUAACUGAUUAUCAUCCUCGUUACUAAUAAGCUGUUUUCCCAAUGUCUAUGUCCUAUUUAAGAGCAAAUAAUAUUGUUAGAUUAUUGAUGUUGAAAUAUCCAGUGAAAAAUAUUUAGAUUUGCUUUUGUCUGCAUUAUGUAACCCCAAUUUUCACCAUGUAAAUAUCAAAACAUAUUUAAAAUGUCUUGGAAGUUUGUUUUUGUCAUGGACAAGCAUAUAAAAUACAUUACAAUGAGGACCAUGUAUUUGAGUUUCUUUAUGAUUUUUUUUCUUUAAGAAACCAUUAAGUUUGGAUGAGAAAGUGUUGGAGAUCUUUAUUUGUGCUGUCUGAGCUCACCAUGAGAUGCACAAAUUAGACUGGGAUGAGAAUAGAUUGAGAUCAUAGAGAGAGCUCUCUGGUUUCUCUGCCAGAGAUCAAAAAGACGCACCAAACUUGAGACAAUCUGAGAAUUAUUUGAGAGCUUGGUGAGAUCUAUUUUGAAACUUAAAAGGAGGCUACUUUGAGAUUUUAUGAUGAUUUUUCUCCAGGAGAAAAAAUUGAGAAACAGGAGAAAUAAGCCAUAAUCUCGUUUUGGUUUCACACAGACCUCACUGUUGUCUAGGAGAAAUACAUGAGAUGUUUUUGAGAGCGCUUUUCUAAUUUUCUUUUCCUCUGGGUUUGGCUGGUGUGAUUGGAUAAAUGGCUGAUGUGAUUGGAUAUUUGGCCGACGUACACAUCGUAAUGGCAUUGCUCACACAUUUUUUGUUAGGGAUUAACAUUAUAAAUUGGACAUAUCCCUUGAUCUGCACAGAGGGAUUAUUAUUAUGUUUUUGCCAACUGGAUAUUUGUCCUCGAGGACAAUCCUCUUUCAUUCUCAUGUAAACUAAUCCCACACUGCUGAUUUUACUUUCUUUAUCAGUGGAGGAUGGAGACCAUCAGAUGUUGAUAUCAGCCUCACCUCUCUCUAACAUUUACCCCACUGUCUGUAUAUGUGUGUGUGUGUGUGUGUGUGGAGCAAGUUGAUCAGGUGAGAUUCUCCGUCCGGUUACUUUUUUUCAAUGCAGUAGAUGAAUAAAUGUACACUGUAUUAUAGCCGUCAAUUUUCAUACCGCGAUCAUCACCAGUA